CCUACGGGAGGCAGCAGUAGGGAAUUUUCGGCAAUGGGGGGAACCCUGACCGAGCAACGCCGCGUGAAUGACGAAGUUCUUCGGAAUGUAAAGUUCUUUUAUUGGUGAAGCGGUAAUCAAUGAAUAAGCCCCGGCUAACUAUGUGCCAGCAGCCGCGGUAAUACAUAGGGGGCGAGCGUUAUCCGGAUUUACUGGGCGUAAAGGGUGCGUAGGUUGUUCUUUAAGUUUCUGGUGUAAGUGCAGAGCUCAACUCUGUGAUGCUAGGAAAACUGGGGAGCUAGAGUAAGACAGAGGCAAGUGGAAUUCCAUGUGUAGCGGUAAAAUGCGUAAAUAUAUGGAGGAACACCAGUGGCGAAGGCGGCUUGCUGGGUCUUACUGACGCUGAUGCACGAAAGCGUGGGGAGCAAACAGGAUUAGAUACCCUUGUAGUC
rnacentral:rRNA from 1 species